rnacentral:rRNA from 1 species
UACAGAGGUCCCAAGCGUUGUUCGGAUUCAUUGGGCGUAAAGGGUGCGUAGGUGGCGCGCUAAGUCAGGUGUGAAAUUUCGGAGCUUAACUCCGAAACUGCAUUUGAUACUGGCGUGCUUGAGGACUGGAGAGGAGACUGGAAUUUACGGUGUAGCAGUGAAAUGCGUAGAGAUCGUAAGGAAGACCAGUGGCGAAGGCGGGUCUCUGGACAGUCCCUGACACUGAGGCACGAAGGCCAGGGGAGCAAACGGG